rnacentral:ribozyme from 16 species
UUCCUUUUUUUUUUUUUUAUUUUUUUUAUUUUUUUUUGU